GCCGGUGUAACUCAGCUGGUAGAGUAGCUGAUUUGUAAUCAGCAGGUCGGGGGUUCGAGUCCCUUCACCGGCU
rnacentral:tRNA from 1 species